GAUGAACGCUAGCGGCAGGCUUAACACAUGCAAGUCGAGGGGCAGCGCGAUGUAGCAAUACAUUGGCGGCGACCGGCGCACGGGUGCGUAACACGUAUGGAAUCUGCCCUGUACUGGAAGAUAACCCGGCGAAAGUCGGACUAAUAUCCCAUAAUAGCCGAGGUGGCAUCACCUUGGUUUGAAAGCUCCGGCGGUACAGGAUGACCAUGCGCACGAUUAGCUAGUUGGUGAGGUAACGGCUCACCAAGGCUACGAUCGUUAGGGGGCCUGAGAGGGUUAUCCCCCACACUGGUACUGAGACACGGACCAGACUCCUACGGGAGGCAGCAGUGAGGAAUAUUGCGCAAUGGAGGCAACUCUGACGCAGCCAUGCCGCGUGCAGGAAGAAGGCGCUACGCGUUGUAAACUGCUUUUAUCCGGGAAGAAACCCCAGGACGUGUCCUGGGUUGACGGUACCGGAGGAAUAAGCACCGGCUAACUUCGUGCCAG
rnacentral:rRNA from 1 species